AUUAAAAAGGGGCACAGAAAGUUCAAGUUCCUGAAACAGGAGCAGUCAGGGCCAGAGUGGGCGGGGCCCGUUGUUCCGGGACUGGUUUCUGUGGGAAACCCCUCAGGGCCCAGCGAGCACACCUGCAGCCACACCUGGCCAGCAUCGGCCCAGCCCGGGCAGAGCUGCAGCCAGAUCCUCAGGGUCCUUCUGGCACCCCCGUGUCCCCCUGUCCCCGCAGGGCUCCGGGCGGCCGUGACCCUGCUGGAGUGUGGGGGGGACCUCCAGCCCCCCGGGGGGUCCCUGCGCCUCCUCUGCCGAGGGUCCGGGUUCAGUUUUGGCAGUUUUGCCAUGUUCUGGAUCCGGCAGAGACCCGGGCAGGGGCUGGAAUUCAUCGCUGGGAUUGACAGUGAUGGCACCACCCGAUACCCGCCAUCACUCAAGGGCCGGGUCACGAUCUCCAGGGAGAGCGGGCAGAGCUCGGUGACGCUGACCAUGACCGACCUCCGGGACGAGGAUUCCGGAUCCUAUUUCUGUGCCAAAUCUGCUUCUACUGGUGGUUACGGUGCUGCUGGUGCUUAUAGUGACGGUGCCGGCAGUGGCCCCACUCCCCGUGAUGGGCACCCAAUGUCCCCAAUCCCAGCGAUCCUUCCCCCAAAUCCCAGCCCCGUUCCUCCAAUCGCGGCCAUUUCCCCCAAACUCCUCCCCUGCUGACCGACCUCUGGACUU